rnacentral:rRNA from 1 species
UACGAAGGGGGCUAGCGUUGUUCGGAAUUACUGGGCGUAAAGCGCGCGUAGGCGGUGAUCCAUGUCAGAGGUGAAAGCCCGGGGCUCAACUCCAGAACUGCCUUUGAUACUGAAGAUCUUGAGUUCGGGAGAGGUGAGUGGAACUGCGAGUGUAGAGGUGAAAUUCGUAGAUAUUCGCAAGAACACCAGUGGCGAAGGCGGCUCACUGGCCCGAUACUGACGCUGAGGCACGAAAGCGUGGGGAGCAAA